rnacentral:rRNA from 12 species
GGGUUGUCAUGCCAAUGGCACUGCCCGGUAGCUAAAUGCGGAAGAGAUAAGUGCUGAAAGCAUCUAAGCACGAAACUUGCCCCGAGAUGAGUUCUCCCUGAGACUUUAAGUCUCCUGAAGGAACGUUGAAGACGACGACGUUGAUAGGCCGGGUGUGUAAGCGCAGCGAUGCGUUGAGCUAACCGGUACUAAUGAACCGUGAGGCUUAACCUU